rnacentral:misc_RNA from 1 species
UCUCAAUCCAUAACUGGAGUCUUGAUCACCUGCAGUAUCUGCACCACCUCGGUCAUCGACGGCCUGCUCGACGGUAUCUGCGACGUGCACACCAUCCCCAGCUUCAGCACCGGCAGCACCUCCUCGUCAGGGAACUGCCCCAUCCUCGGAUCAACACAAUCCAUCGCACUCCCCUGCUCCAUCAACACCCUCACUUGAUCAAUCAAUAUCACCACAUCCUCCUCUCCAUACUCUACCGCCCUCCUCCCGGUCACCAGCUCCAGGACCACCACUCCAAACCCAUAGACAUCACACUUCUCAGUAACCCUCAAACUCUG